CAGAGUAUAAAACCCCUCCGCCGACCGGGCACAGGCAGAACAGGUACAGCAGCCGAGCACAACACUCACAGUCCGCCUACCCACACCGACAACAUGAACUUCAAGCUGGUGCUUCUGCUCCUGGUGGUUCUGGUCGGCGUCGCCGCCGGGUUCGGGUUCGGCCGCAGGGGCGGCGGCUACUACGGCGGCUCCCGCGGCGGCUACUACGGCGGGUCCCGCGGGUUCGGCCGCGGAGGAUACUACGGUCGUGGCCGCGGCGGCGGAUACGGCUACGGCAGAAGGCACUACGGCUAGUCCCCGACCCGCCAUACCGAGCUCUGACCGCGCCGCUGGUAUCCGGCGGUGGCGGUGCCCCCUCGCCCUGGGGCGGCAGGGAGACGGCAGUCACCGGACCGAGGGUGUCCGGUCCGUCAGACUCUGACCGCGCCCGGCUCACCGGUCGGUGAAGUGCCGUGUACCUGUGUUCGUCCUGUACCCCCUCAGUGAGAGGUCCCGACCUCCGGCCGCCUGAGGCCGUCCGCCGCGCCUCUCGGCUGAGAUGGAUCCCCGUCCUCCGAACACUGAUAAGCGUUGAAGCUUAUUAAUGUUGACGGAGAUCUUUGUUCAACGCGACUGUCCUUUGCAAUAGAAAUAUACGUAUAAUGCAAAACA